CCUAACUAUACUUGUAUUUGAAAUAAAUAAAGGAAAAAACACACAAAAAGUAAAAAAAAAUUAACCAUCAUUUAUCAUUACUUAUUAAAGGAGGAUUGCAAUGGUCAGGUGUGUGGGGGUGUACUCCCCCAGAAAAUUUUUGAAAUUUAAACCACGGAAUUGCCAUUUCCUGCAUUCUGAGCAUCCAAAUUUGCUCUAAAAUUUAUGCUAACUAUAGUUAUAUUUGAAAUAAAAGAUGGAAAAAUGCACAAAAAGUAAAAAAGAAUAUUAACUGUAAUUUAUCAUUACUUAUUAGAGGGAUAAUCCCAAGAAAAUUUUUGAAAUUUGAAAUCGUGAAAUGCUAUUUUCUGCAUUCUGAGCAUCGAAAAAAUAAAAAAAAUAUUAACAAUAAUUUAUCAUGGCUUAGUGGUAAAAAAAGUAACAAUUUAAUUCGAUUUUGUUAAACAAGAACAAAGGAUAAAGCAUAAAACUUACUUUCCGUUUAUCUAUUUGUUAAUCUUCGCUGGAUUGUUUGUAUAAUUUUAGGAAAAAGGGACUUUUCCUGGGGGGG